GACGAACGCUGGCGGCGUGCUUAACACAUGCAAGUCGAACGGAAAGGCCCUGCUUUUGUGGGGUGCUCGAGUGGCGAACGGGUGAGUAACACGUGAGUAACCUGCCCUUGACUUUGGGAUAACUUCAGGAAACUGGGGCUAAUACCGGAUAGGAGCUCCUGCUGCAUGGUGGGGGUUGGAAAGUUUCGGCGGUUGGGGAUGGACUCGCGGCUUAUCAGCUUGUUGGUGGGGUAGUGGCUUACCAAGGCUUUGACGGGUAGCCGGCCUGAGAGGGUGACCGGCCACAUUGGGACUGAGAUACGGCCCAGAAUGCUACGGGAGGCAGCAGUGGGAAAUAUUGCACAAUGGGCGGAAGCCUGAUGCAGCAACGCCGCGUGCGGGAUGACGGCCUUCGGGGUGUAAACCGCUUUCGCCUGUGACGAAGCGUGAGUGACGGUAAUGGGUAAAGAAGCACCGGCUAACUACGUG
rnacentral:rRNA from 1 species